rnacentral:lncRNA from 1 species
CCGGCUCCUCUGCUGGAUUGCAGCGCCGGCUGGGCACCAGGAGUACAAAGCGAAAACCCCCGCCGGCCCUUCUGUUCUCCACGGUCUCCAAGGAGACACGGACAACAGAACAACACUUCCGUGUGCUAAAUAGUAAAGCACCAAGCAGGGUCAGAUGUGUUACUGGGCUGGAGUGUGGUGGCACAAUCACGCUCACUGCAUCCUUGACCUCCUGGGCUCAAGUGAUCUUCCCACCUCAGCCUCCCAAGUAGCUGGGACUACAGGUACGCCUCA